UGAGGGAUAUUGGGCAAUGGGGGAAACCCUGACCCAGCGACGCCGCGUGAGGGAAGACGGUCUUCGGAUUGUAAACCUCUGUCUUUGGGGACGAAAAAGGACGGUACCCAAGGAGGAAGCUCCGGCUAACUACGUGCCAGCAGCCGCGGUAAUACGUAGGGAGCGAGCGUUGUCCGGAAUUACUGGGUGUAAAGGGAGCGUAGGCGGGAAGGCAAGUUGGAUGUGAAAACUGUGGGCUCAACCGACAGACUGCAUUCAAAACUGUUUUUCUUGAGUGAAGUAGAGGCAAGCGGAAUUCCUAGUGUAGCGGUGAAAUGCGUAGAUAUUAGGAGGAACACCAGUGGCGAAGGCGGCUUGCUGGGCUUUUACUGACGCUGAGGCUCGAAAGUGUGGGGAGCAAACAGG
rnacentral:rRNA from 1 species